UACAGAGGUCUCAAGCGUUGCUCGGAAUUAUUGGGCGUAAAGGGUGCGUAGGCGGUUCGGUCAGUUGGGUGUGAAAAGUCGAGGCUCAACCUCGAAAUGGCACCCAAUACUACCGGGCUAGAGUACUGCAUAGGAAGCUGGAACUUACGGUGUAGCAGUGAAAAUGCGUAGAUAUCGUAAAGAAGACCAGAGGCGAAAAGCGAGCUUCUAGGCA
rnacentral:rRNA from 1 species